rnacentral:misc_RNA from 1 species
CCAGUCUUCAACAUGUUCACAUGUCCUUUUAUGGCCCGAUAAACUUCACGAACAACCAACUCCAUUCUCUGACAAAAUCCACACCAACUAUUGCUAAAUAGGACCAACACAUCCUCUUUCCAAGCAUGGGAAGCAUUAUCAUCAUCAGAUUGAUUAAAACCAAUAACCUGCUCAGUGAAAGUUUGAGCUGUAACUCGAGGGAUGGAAUCUACUUCGUGGAAAUCCACAUUAACA